rnacentral:rRNA from 1 species
UACGUAGGGUGCAAGCGUUAAUCGGAAUUACUGGGCGUAAAGCGUGCGCAGGCGGUUAUGUAAGACAGGUGUGAAAUCCCCGGGCUUAACCUGGGAACUGCAUUUGUGACUGCAUAGCUAGAGUACGGUAGAGGGGGAUGGAAUUCCGCGUGUAGCAGUGAAAUGCGUAGAUAUGCGGAGGAACACCGAUGGCGAAGGCAUCCCCUGGACCUGUACUGACGCUCAUGCACGAAAGCGUGGGGAGCAAACAGG